rnacentral:rRNA from 2 species
AUUAAGUAUAAUUAUUACUUUUGAUAUAAUUAUUUAUUUUUUAGUAAAAAUAAUUUAUUUUUUAGUAAUUCUUAUUGAAAUAAUAAUUUUUAGUUAUAGUUUAUUAGUACUGUGAAGGAAAUUAUUUUAUUUUAUUAAAGUAUAUUUGAUUUAUAGUACCUUUUGUAUCAGGGUUUAUUAAUUAAAUAUUAAUUAUUUAUUUUUCCCGAAAUUAAAAGAGAUACAAUAUUAUGUUAGUUUAUAUUUUAUAAUAAUUUAUAAUAUUAUUGUAGGGGUUAUAUGCUAUUCAAUUUUAUAUAUCUGGUUUCUUAAUAAAUGAAUUUAAUUCAUGUAAUUUUUGGUUAAUUUAUAAAUUUAUUUUUUUUAAUAUUAAAUUGCUAAUAUUAUUGGGGAUAAGCUCAAUUAAUUAUUUCUAUAAUUUUUAUAUUUAUUGAAUUGUUGUAGGCUUGUAAACAGCUAACAUUGAUUUCGUUAUAGUUCAUUUUCAUAUUUAUUAUUUAUUUUUUAUAAUUUAGUUUAUUAUUAGGAUUUAUUAUUUAAUAAUAUAUUUUUAGUAAUAAUGAUAUAAUUAGUAGUUUUGUAUAUUUAAAUAUAAAAAUUCGGCAACUCUAAUCUUCGCCUGUUUAACAAAAACAUGUCCUGUAGAAUUAAUUUCAGGUCUGACCUGCUCUAUGAAUAAUAUAAUUUUAAUGGCCGCAGUAUUUUAACUGUGCAAAGGUAGCAUAAUCAUUUGUCUUUUAAUUGAAGGCUAGAAUGAAUGGUUGGACGAGGGAUUAACUUUUUUUAUUUAAUUUUUAUGAAUUUAAUUUUUUAGUUAAAAAGCUAAAAUUCUUUUGUAAGACGAGAAGACCCUAUAGAAUUUUAAUUUUGAUUUAUUUAUUAAUUUAUUAUGAUUUUGAUUAUUUUAAUAUAUUUUAAAAUUUUUGUUGGGGUGACAGUGAAAAUUAUAUAACUUUCAUUAAUUUUUAUUCAUUAAUAAAUGUUAAAUUGAUCCUUUAUUAUGGAUUAAAAGAUUAAAUUACCUUAGGGAUAACAGCGUAAUUCUUUUGGAGAGUUCUUAUCGAUAAUGGAGUUUGCGACCUCGAUGUUGGAUUAAAAUAAGUUUUAGGUGCAAGAGCUUAAUUACUAAGUCUGUUCGACUUUUAAAUUUUUACAUGAUCUGAGUUCAGACCGGCGUGAGCCAGGUUGGUUUCUAUCUUCAAAUUUAUUUAAUAUUUUAGUACGAAAGGACCAAAUGUUAAUAAUAUUUAUUUAAUUUAUGAAUAUUAUGUUA